rnacentral:rRNA from 1 species
AUGAAUUGGUGCAAGUUUAUUGACGACUUCCUCCACGAUGCAUUCUCAAGCAAGAUGUACCAAAAGGGUUGUCGACUGCAUUUAAUGCUCAUGUAUGUCGACUGUCUUGAUCUAUCCACCGUGGAUUUCACUGGGGUAGGAGGCCCGCCGCCUACGCACAAGUUUGUUGUUUCUGCGUGGACUAUUAACGCUGUUAAGGUUGUGCUUGCCGCAGACAGGCUGAUGGCCAAGCAUGCUAUAGACUACAGCGUGUUUGGGGGGCCUCAAAACUUUGGAAAGUGGAUGGACGUGCACUCAGCUCCGUCUUGCCCUACUGAGACGAGGGCACCUGUUGAGCAUCUAAUUGGGCAGUUUGCAUCCGGAAUGACUGGCUUGCUCGGGAAGUUAGUUGAGGGGUGGACGUCUCUCAGUGGCUCUGACAGUGACGCGGUUGCGAGGCAGUUCACUUUGUUUGUCCCAGAACGUACACAUCGGCCAACCGGUUACCGUGGCCGGGUGAAGAAGACCACUAUGCGCGGGGCCAAGCAUAUUAGUAAGGACCCGCUCGAACGCCUACAUUCAAAGUUGUCAACAGGGGGCAACUCAGAUGUACAUGAGGCACCAGGCGACAAUACUGCUGCUGCACCGUUGAUCGCUCCCACCAACUCUGAUGCAAGUGGCCGACCAUCUCCGUUGGCUGCAGAUGUGCAGGCUAGAAUAACAGGCAUCCGUACAUCGGGGAGUGACGAGUCGGUAUCUGCCAGGACAGCUGAAAUAUUGCCAACUCUAAUGGCAAUGAAGGAUGCUGCUGUGAGCCAUGCCACCCCAUCAGCAAGCGUUCAAGUGGAUGCUCCCGAGAUGAACCUAAGCAAGGAAGAUUCCCGCUCAUCUGACACUGAUUCCAAGCGCGUGCGUGGUGGCACUCCUGUGUCCACGACAGAAGCGGCUGAGGCGGCAGUUCACAAGGAUAUGCCAUCUACAGGUGAGAGUCCUGGCACAACAGCUCCAGCUCCUGUCGGUGCAGAUACUGCUAAGGCGACUGUUUCGUGUGCUGGUCUUCCACCUAGGCGCCAUAGCCCCCGCAAGCAACCAACAGACAUACCCAACGCAUCGGCUGCAGCUAGGAGCAGGAGAGACGAGUCUGGUUAUGUUCCUGCAUCCACAUUGUGCCCGCCACCUGCCAAAAGCAAUGUGAUGGAGAAACCGGAAGACCGGAGCACAACUGAUGCAGGUUGUCAAGCCGAGCACGAGUGA